rnacentral:miRNA from 1 species
AGGCGGGGGAACCUGAGGCGCUGGCUGCGUCUGACUCAGCCACUCAGUCGCCCCGCCACA